rnacentral:rRNA from 1 species
UACGUAGGGGGCGAGCGUUAUCCGGAUUCAUUGGGCGUAAAGCGCGCGUAGGCGGCCGCCUAAGCGGAACCUCUAACCCCGGGGCUCAACCUCGGGCCGGGUUCCGGACUGGGCGGCUCGAGUGUGGUAGAGGAGAGCGGAAUUCCCGGUGUAGCGGUGGAAUGCGCAGAUAUCGGGAAGAACACCGAUGGCGAAGGCAGCUCUCUGGGCCGUCACUGACGCUGAGGCGCGAAAGCUGGGGGAGCGAACAGG